GCAGACAGAAACAGAGAGCAAACUGAGGUUCAGGGAGGUACCCAGGGACAAUGCAAAACUUCAACUCUGGUCUUCUCUCUGAUGAUCUGACACCCUUCUACGUCACCACACUAAUCUUGUCACAUCAGGCAAGGACGUGAAUCAUCCCUUUGGUGGAUCCCCAACCACUGAUGUUGUCAUGGCUCGAUGAUCUUCCUUCUGACACAAAGCCUAACGCUACGUCACAAUGCGUACAUCACUCACCUCACUUCAUCUCAUCACGUAGACUUUGUAGCAUCUCACAUCAUCACAAGAAGAAGGGCAGGAAAAUGUCAGCAUUUCAGAUGCACCUUGUCCUGCUAAACUCCUGUGGUUCCAGAUGAAACGGCACACCCUAUGCCAGCAAUGCAGUCAAACAACCAGAAGAAGGAAGCAUUCAACCGACCAAAUUCCUAACGUCACUAAUAAGUCAAUGUAGG
rnacentral:lncRNA from 1 species